GCUCGGAUAACUCAGUGGUAGAGUGUGAGAUUGCAAAUCUCGAAGUCCUUGGUUCGAAUCCGAGUUCGAGCU
rfam:Claviceps purpurea 20.1, WGS project CAGA01000000 data, contig: scaffold00041